AGGAAACCUGAGCCUGCGGUGCAAGCCGAGCCAGCCCGACGGGAGGCGAAGGGCCAGGGAGUCGCGCAGCCCCUGCAGCCGCCGCGGGCUCAGACCAUGGAGGCAGGAGCUGGAGGGAAGAGAGUGAAAUUUGGUGCUGUGACUCCGGUCGGGGGACCUCCCAUGGGAGAUCAAUCCCCUGUCCUCCUGCUCUUUGCUCCGUGAGCAAGAUCCACCUACGACCUCAGGUGCUCAGAUCAACCAGCCCAAGGAACAUCUCACCAAUUUUAAAUCGGAUCUUCUUGGCUUAGCGGCUGAAGACGGACGCUGCCCAAUCGCCUUGGAAACCUCCUAGACCAUCACGGACGCCGAGCUUCCGGUAACUCUCACAGUGGAGGCUACAGUUUGGCAGCUCCUGGGCACCUCACCCCUCCCCUACAACUCCAAGCCAAGAAUAUAAUUGGUUCAGCUCAUCUCAGGUAGGCAUCCCCUUCUUUGGAGGUGUAUCUCAGGACAGCCAAUCAGGGGCUUCCCUGGGCGGAUUCUCCUUUUCUGGUCCAAUUAGCUUUGACAUAAAGGCCUUAGUUGGGGGCAAAACUACCUCCCAAUAGAGGCCAUCUGCCAAGGAAAGGGGGUGGGGCA